GCUUUCAGCAGACUGAGCGAACACACAGGCUUCUCAGUCCACUCCCUCCAGUCAAGGGUAAAGGUGGAGGAAGAGAAGCUGAGGAGAACAAGGCUGAGGAGGGUCUGGGCACAGGAAGGUGACCGGUUCCCUCCCUCCCAACGCUGAUUUCCUGUGGGCCACAUUCCAGCACAUUGGAGGGCCAGAGCUCAGGGAACAGACCAGCAGCACCGCAAGUCUCCAAGGAAAGUUCCAGUAGUCUCCAGGGGCUGAAGGCAGGACUGGGGAAGCGGCUAGCCGGGCUGCAGAAAUCAAAUGCUCCCAGACUGCUGUCCAGCACGCAUCGCAUCUGCCUUCCUAACCAAGUUUCCUGGGCUCCGGCCACAGAUCCUGACAUCCUGCCCUCUGUGCUCUGGGAGGACCCAGGAAGGAUGCUUAGCCUUGGCUCCUUGUCUGCUGGUGGAGGGGACACACACCUUUUUCUGGACCACAGACCAAAAAGAAGACCUGAUGUCAUCCUGAGCACCCCUGCCAUGCAGAGUGUGUUCACAGACUGCCAAUGGGCUGGCUCCAGCCAGC
rnacentral:lncRNA from 1 species